UGGGAAUGGUGCGCCUCUGGGCUUAUUCGG
rnacentral:piRNA from 1 species